rnacentral:lncRNA from 1 species
GUUUCGUAUUGCAGUCGAAGCAAUGCUUAUGUACAUAUGUACAUACAUUCUUACAUACAUAUGUACAUACAUACGUAUCGUAUAUGUAUCAUACUCUCUAUACUGCGUAUGCAUGAUGCAGCAGAGUUUUUUUGCUGCUGCUGUUGUUGUAAGACAUCUUCAAAAUUCAAAGACCAUGGCCAGUGACCAUCUCUACUUCAGUCCAUCAUAAUGCUGAAUUGCUGACAACGGGGCGUUGAUAAUAAUCAUUAUAAUGAAGGACCAUUAAAGGGACAAAUAAACAAAGCUAAGGCACAGAUUUGGCUACACACGCAGAAACACCAGCGAGUACUAUGGGUAAAAAGCCCAAAUUGUUGGCAUUAAUCCCAAAAGUAAAGAUA